UACGUAGGUGACAAGCGUUGUCCGGAUUUACUGGGCGUAAAGAGCGCGCAGGCGGUCGAUCAAGUCGAGUGUGAAAGCCCCCGGCUCAACUGGGGAGGGUCAUUCGAUACUGAUCGACUCGAAGGCAGGAGAGGGUAGCGGAAUUCCCGGUGUAGUGGUGAAAUGCGUAGAUAUCGGGAGGAACACCAGUGGCGAAGGCGACUGCCUGGCCUGUUCUUGACGCUGAGGCGCGAAAGCUAGGGGAGCAAACGGG
rnacentral:rRNA from 1 species